UGGCCCAGCACCUGUCCCUCUGCUACUGCUUGCUCGCACUCUCCACAGGGCAAAGCAGUGUACAUAGCCUCCCUGCCCCAGCUCUUAAGAAUCCAGGGACUUCCCUGAAGGUCCAGUGGUAAAGAAUCCGCUUUACAAUGCAGGGGACGUGGGCUCGAUCCCUGGUCGGGGAACUAAGAUCCCACAUGCCACGGGGCCAGUAAGCCCGCGCGCCACAACUACUGAGCUCACACACCUCAACUAGAGCCCGCGUGCCGCAGACUACAGAGCCCACACGCCCUGGAGCCUGCGCACCACAGCUAGAGAAGAGAAAACCCAGAAAACGCGCAGGCCACAACUAGAGAGAAGCCCGCUCGCUACAACAAAGAGCCCAAGUGCCGCAACGAAAGAUCCUGCAUGCCUCAACGAUCCCGUGCGCCACAACUAAGACCCGACGCAGCCAAAAAGGAAGCCUGUUUUAAGGAUCAAGUGAGAUAAGUAAGUGAAAGAAGUUUCGGAAAAGUUUAAAGACCUCUCUAGCUGUCCACCCUGAGAACAACUCAUUAUCUGCAGAUCUGCAGGUCAGCUACAAUUUAGCUGAUUUCAGCUGGACUCGGUUGGAUUCAACUUCAGAUUAUAAAUUGGAUUCAGGUCUGCUGUGCUUGUCUCAUCCGGAGACAAAUGGCGAUGCAGGAUAAAUUCUCCCCACAGGAUAGCUGGAACAUAAGAAGCCAAGCAAAAUCAUACAACGAUGGAUCCAUCAGAUGUCCAGACUCACAGAACGUACAACACCGAGAGUGAACCUUAAUGUAAACUAUGGACUUUGGGUGAUGAUGACGUACUGAUGUAGGUUCAUUGAU